AGAGUUUGAUCCUGGCUCAGAGCGAACGCUGGCGGCAGGCUUAACACAUGCAAGUCGAACGGGCACUUCGGUGUCAGUGGCAGACGGGUGAGUAACACGUGGGAACGUACCCUUCGGUUCGGAACAACUCAGGGAAACUUGAGCUAAUACCGGAUACGCCCUUCGGGGGAAAGAUUUAUCGCUGAAGGAUCGGCCCGCGUCUGAUUAGCUAGUUGGUGAGGUAAUGGCUCACCAAGGCGACGAUCAGUAGCUGGUCUGAGAGGAUGAUCAGCCACACUGGGACUGAGACACGGCCCAGACUCCUACGGGAGGCAGCAGUGGGGAAUAUUGGACAAUGGGCGAAAGCCUGAUCCAGCCAUGCCGCGUGAGUGAUGAAGGCCUUAGGGUUGUAAAGCUCUUUCGACGGGGACGAUAAUGACGGUACCCGUAGAAGAAGCCCCGGCUAACUUCGUGCCAGCAGCCGCGGUAAUACGAAGGGGACUAGCGUUGCUCGGAAUCACUGGGCGUAAAGGGCGCGUAGGCGGCCGAUCAAGUCAGAGGUGAAAGCCCAAGGCUCAACCUUGGAAUUGCCUUUGAUACUGUUCGGCUCGAGACCGGAAGAGGUAAGUGGAACUGCGAGUGUAGAGGUGAAAUUCGUAGAUAUUCGCAAGAACACCAGUGGCGAAGGCGGCUUACUGGUCCGGUUCUGACGCUGAGGCGCGAAAGCGUGGGGAGCAAACAGGAUUAGAUACCCCAGUAGUCC
rnacentral:rRNA from 2 species